GUUAGCUUUCUCCGCCAGCUCCACCCUCAGUCUUUCGCCUUCUGUGACCUUAGCAGUCAGUUCUUGUACCUGAGCAUCAAGCUUCUUCCUCUUAUGCUCAGACUCUGCCUUGACCUGCUGCAACACCUUCACUUCACAGGCCAACUCCUUGUUGUCAGACUCCAGGCCUUGCUUGUUUUUUUCAAGGUUUGCUUUGAACCUUUUGGCCUGUUCAAGUUGUUCAGAGAGCUCUUCCAGGGCAGUAGCAUGCCUCUGCCUGAUCUCCUGGAUCUGUGCUUCAUGGUUCUUGGUUUCCUCUUCAAUUGCUUUCUUCAGCUCAGCCACUUCCUGCUCACGUUUUGUCCUCAGCUCUUGCUGUGCUGCAGUGGUAUCCAAGGUAUCUUCCAGUUCAGUUUUUAAAGCCUCCAACUCUUCACUUAAAUCUCUUUUCUGCUUCUCUGCCUUGUUGCGUGAUGCCUUCUCAGAUUCAAGAUCCUCCUGCAGUUCUGCAAUUUGGGCCUGCAACUCUCUUAUCACUUUAAGUGCAUUGUUUUUCUGAACUGCUUCUUCAUCACCUCUUGCAAGAGCAGCCUGCAGCUCUUCCUCCUUCUUGGCCAGCUGGAUCUUCAGCUCUUCAAUCUGGGCCUGCAGCUCAGCUAUUUGGUCCUGUAGAUCUGUUGUUUCACCAUCCAGUUUUCUCUUAGCUUUUUCUAAUUCCUGACGUGUCUUCUCCUCCUUUUUUAAGCGCUCUUCUAAAUCAGUGAUCAUCAUUUCCUGUUUGUUCUUCAGUUUCGCCAAAUUUUUAGCCUUUUCUUCUUCUUCAGCCAGCUGAGAAGUACAUUCAGCAAUUCUAUCCUCCAUCAGCUUCUUUUCCUUCAAAAAUUUGGAAUUUUGGUCCUCCAACAGUAGGAUCUCUUCUUCCAUCUUCUUGAUCUUAGCUUCAGCUGUCACUUUUUCAAGCUGCAGCUUCUGUCUGGCUCCCUCCUCCUCAUCCAGCUGCUCCUCCAGGUCCUGAAUGUGGCCCUGCAUUUUCUUUUUCUCAUUCUGCAAUAUUUGAUUUCUUUCCUCCUCCUCCUCAACCCUGGAUUCCAAGUCAUGGAGAAUUUCUUCCAACUCUUGUUUUUUGGCAGCCAAGCGAGCCCUCAUCUCCUCAGCUUCUGCAAAGAGCUCUGUCUCAGCCUGUAGCUGCUCUGCAAGAAUGUUCUUCUCUUCUAGGAGCUGUUGAUGUUUCCUUUCCAUUUCCUCAAGUUCUGCUUCCACUUUUGUCUGUUUUUCUUUAACCUUCAUUAGUUCUUCAUCCUUGGCUUGAAGUUCCUCUUCCUGGCGAGUCACCUGAAGAAGAGGCUUCACCUUUGUGAAGACCCUCCACCACUGCCAGUGCCUAAGCUUUAAAUAUGCAGCACAAUUCCUCUGCAGGAUUUUCAGUGCACUCAGUUGCUGUUGUUUCUUUGCAAAGGCCUUUCUGGCCAGGUAUCCUCUGCAGACUGCCUGGAAGAAGAUGAUAAUAUCUGUGAUCUUCAGGUCUCGUUCUUCCUCUAAGUGUGCCAAGACACCAGCUCGGAAAAAGAUCUUGCUCUGUCCAAUUCUGUAUAAGUUGGGGUCCAGCUCCAAGGCUCUGAUCAUGCGCUCACAGGCUUGCUUGCCAUCCAUAAAACCUUUUGGAAUUGCAUUGGGAGUAAG
rnacentral:lncRNA from 1 species